UUGAAGUCGGCACCAGCUAAGGAGUGUGUAACAACUCACCAGCCGAAUUAACCAGCCCUGAAAAUUGAUAGCGCUAAGCGUGAUACCGAUACUCAACCAUCAUGGCAAAUAGAAGCUAUGAUGAGUAAGAGGGCGUGAAGACUGUGUAGAAGGCUUGGAUGUGAAUCUGGCUGGAACAGUCUUUAGUGCAGAUCUUGGUGGUAGUAGCAAAUAUUCAAAUGAGAACUUUGAAGACCGAAGUGGAGAAGGGUUCCAUGAGAACAGCAUUUGGUCAUGGGUUACUCGAUCCUAAGACAUAGGGAAAUUCCUUGUAAUACAUUUGCACUUACGUGCAUGUAGUCAAAAGGGAAUGAGGUUCAUAUUCCUCAAGCUGGAUGUGGGAGCUAUGUGGUAACACAAACAAGCUCGGAGACAUCGGUAUGUGCAACUGGAAGAGUUCUCUUUUCUUCUUAACAGUCUAUCUCCCUGAACGGAUUAUCCAGAGCUAGGGAUAUAUGGCUGGCAGAGCAGUUCUCCAUUGAAUUGUCAGUGAAGCUCAUAACGAUCCUUGAAAAUCCGAGUAAGAUUAUCUCAUCACACCAGGUCGUACCCAUAACCGCAUCAGGUCUCCAAGGUUAGCAGCCUCUGGUCGAUAGAAUAACGUAGAUAAGGGAAUUCGGCAAAUUAGAUCCGUAACUUCGGGAAAAGGAUUGGCUCUGAGGGUUGAGUGUGGUGCCAAUGAAAUGGAACUAGGAUCUGUACUGGUGUUGGUCGCAAGAUCGAAACCGGCAUGGAGAGAAGGAAAAUUUUUGCGGCUAGCACAAUUAACAACCGACUCAGAACUGAAGCGGACAAGGGGAAUCCGACUGUUUAAUAAAAACAUAGCUUUGUGAUGGCCUCAAAAGGUGUUGACACAAAGUGAUUUCUGCCCAGUGCUUUGAAUGUGAAUAUGAAGUAAUUUAUAGAAGCUCAGGUAAACGGCGGGAGUAACUAUGACUCUCUUAAGGUAGCCAAAUGCCUCGUCAUCUAAUUAGUGACGCGCAUGAAUGGAUUAAUGAGAUUCCCACUGUCCCUAUCUACCAUCUAGCGAACCCAUAGCCAAGGGAACGAGCUUGGAAUAAUCAGCGGGGAAAGAAGACCCUGUUGAGCUGACUCUAGUCCGACUUUGUGAAAUGACUUUCGAGAUAUAGCCUAAGUGGGAGCUAACGCGCCGCUGUAAAACCACUGCUCGCUUAGCCAUUUUACUUACUCCAUGAAGAAGUGGCCGAUUUUUCGGUUCUUAGAUUUAAGCCCUGACUCGUAUCAGGGCAAGCUUUGUGGAGGACACAGUCAGGUGGGGAGUUUGACUGGGCGGUACAUCUGUUAAAACGUAACGCAGGUGUCCUACGGUGAGCUCAAAGAGAACAGAAACCUCUUGUAGACCAAAAGGGGAAAAGCUCACUUGAUUUUGAUUUUCAGUACUAAUACCAACCGCGAAAGCGUGGCCUAUCGAUCCUUUAACUUUACAAGUUUUAAGCUAGAGGUGUCAGAAAAGUUACCACAGGGAUAACUGGCUUGUGGCAGCCAAGCGCCC
rnacentral:rRNA from 1 species